rnacentral:rRNA from 1 species
GAUGAACGCUAGCGAUAGGCUUAACACAUGCAAGUCGAGGGGCAGCAUGGUCUUAGCUUGCUAAGACUGAUGGCGACCGGCGCACGGGUGCGUAACGCGUAUGCAACUUGCCUCACAGAGGGGGAUAACCCGUCGAAAGACGGACUAAUACCGCGUACACUUGGGAUAGGGCAUCCUGACCCAAGGAAAUGAAAUUCGCUGUGAGAUAGGCAUGCGUCCCAUUAGCUAGUUGGUGAGGUAACGGCUCACCAAGGCGACGAUGGGUAGGGGAACUGAGAGGUUGAACCCCCACACUGGUACUGAGACACGGACCAGACUCCUACGGGAGGCAGCAGUGAGGAAUAUUGGUCAAUGGGCGAGAGCCUGAACCAGCCAAGUCGCGUGAAGGAUGACUGUCUUAUGGAUUGUAAACUUCUCUUAUACGGGAAUAACAAGAGCCACGUGUGGCUCCCUGCAUGUACCGUAUGAAUAAGCAUCGGCUAACUCCGUG